rnacentral:rRNA from 1 species
GAUGAACGCUGGCGGCGUGCCUAAUACAUGCAAGUCGAGCGAACAGACGAGGAGCUUGCUCCUCUGACGUUAGCGGCGGACGGGUGAGUAACACGUGGAUAACCUACCUAUAAGACUGGGAUAACUUCGGGAAACCGGAGCUAAUACCGGAUAAUAUAUUGAACCGCAUGGUUCAAUAGUGAAAGACGGUUUUGCUGUCACUUAUAGAUGGAUCCGCGCCGCAUUAGCUAGUUGGUAAGGUAACGGCUUACCAAGGCAACGAUGCGUAGCCGACCUGAGAGGGGGAUCGGCAACACUGGAACUGAGACACGGUCGAGACUACGACGGGAGGAAGCAGUAGGGAAUCUUCCGCAAUGGGCGAAAGCCUGACGGAGCAACGCCGCGUGAGUGAUGAAGGUCUUCGGAUCGUAAAACUCUGUUAUUAGGGAAGAACAUAUGUGUAAGUAACUGUGCACAUCUUGACGGUACCUAAUCAGAAAGCCGCGGCUAACUACGUG